CACCGCGGUUAUACGAGAGACCCAAGUUGUUAGAUAACGGCGUAAAGAGUGGUUAAGAUUUAAUCAAGACUAAAGCCGAACGCCCUCAGAGCUGUUAUACGCACCCGAAGGUAAGAAGCCCAACCACGAAAGUGGCUUUAUAUUAUCCGAACCCACGAAAGCUAUGACA
rnacentral:rRNA from 10 species